GUGCCAGCCGCCGCGGUAACACGGGGGGAGCAAGCGUUGUUCGGAUUCAUUGGGCGUAAAGAGCUCGUAGGUGGCUCUGUAAGUCGGUGGUGAAAGCCCACGGCUCAACCGUGGAUACGCCUCCGAAACUGUGGAGCUUGAGGCUGGGAGAGGAAAUCGGAAUUCCUGGUGUAGCGGUGAAAUGCGUAGAUAUCAGGAGGAACACCGGUGGCGAAGGCGGAUUUCUGGACCAGUUCUGACACUGAGGAGCGAAAGCCAGGGGAGCAAACAGGAUUAGAAACCCCCGUAGUCC
rnacentral:rRNA from 1 species